AACUGAAGAGUUUGAUCAUGGCUCAGAUUGAACGCUGGCGGCAGGCUUAACACAUGCAAGUCGAGCGGGGGAAGGUAGCUUGCUACUGGACCUAGCGGCGGACGGGUGAGUAAUGCUUAGGAAUCUGCCUAUUAGUGGGGGACAACAUCUCGAAAGGGAUGCUAAUACCGCAUACGUCCUACGGGAGAAAGCAGGGGAUCUUCGGACCUUGCGCUAAUAGAUGAGCCUAAGUCGGAU
rnacentral:rRNA from 1 species